rnacentral:rRNA from 1 species
GAGUGGCGGACGGGUGAGUAACACGUGGGUAACCUGCCCUAAAGUGGGGGAUAACAUUUGGAAACAGAUGCUAAUACCGCAUAAAACCUAACACCGCAUGGUGUAGGGUUGAAAGAUGGUUUCGGCUAUCACUUUAGGAUGGACCCGCGGUGCAUUAGUUAGUUGGUGAGGUAAAGGCUCACCAAGACCGUGAUGCAUAGCCGACCUGAGAGGGUAAUCGGCCACACUGGGACUGAGACACGGCCCAGACUCCUACGGGAGGCAGCAGUAGGGAAUCUUCCACAAUGGACGAAAGUCUGAUGGAGCAACGCCGCGUGAGUGAAGAAGGUUUUCGGAUCGUAAAACUCUGUUGUUGGAGAAGAAUGUAUCUGAUAGUAACUGAUCAGGUAGUGACGGUAUCCAACCAGAAAGCCACGGCUAACUACGUGCCAGCAGCCGCGGUAAUACGUAGGUGGCAAGCGUUGUCCGGAUUUAUUGGGCGUAAAGCGAGCGCAGGCGGUUUCUUAAGUCUGAUGUGAAAGCCUUCGGCUCAACCGAAGAAGUGCAUCGGAAACUGGGAAACUUGAGUGCAGAAGAGGACAGUGGAACUCCAUGUGUAGCGGUGAAAUGCGUAGAUAUAUGGAAGAACACCAGUGGCGAAGGCGGCUGUCUGGUCUGUAACUGACGCUGAGGCUCGAAAGCAUGGGUAGCAAACAGGAUUAGAUACCCUGGUAGUCCAUGCCGUAAACGAUGAGUGCUAGGUGUUGGAGGGUUUCCGCCCUUCAGUGCCGCAGCUAACGCAUUAAGCACUCCGCCUGGGGAGUACGACCGCAAGGUUGAAACUCAAAGGAAUUGACGGGGGCCCGCACAAGCGGUGGAGCAUGUGGUUUAAUUCGAAGCAACGCGAAGAACCUUACCAGGUCUUGACAUCCUUUGACCACUCUAGAGAUAGAGCUUUCCCUUCGGGGACAAAGUGACAGGUGGUGCAUGGUUGUCGUCAGCUCGUGUCGUGAGAUGUUGGGUUAAGUCCCGCAACGAGCGCAACCCUUAUUACUAGUUGCCAGCAUUAAGUUGGGCACUCUAGUGAGACUGCCGGUGACAAACCGGAGGAAGGUGGGGACGACGUCAAAUCAUCAUGCCCCUUAUGACCUGGGCUACACACGUGCUACAAUGGAUGGUACAACGAGUUGCGAGACCGCGAGGUUUAGCUAAUCUCUUAAAACCAUUCUCAGUUCGGAUUGUAGGCUGCAACUCGCCUACAUGAAGCCGGAAUCGCUAGUAAUCGCGGAUCAGCAUGCCGCGGUGAAUACGUUCCCGGGCCUGUACACACCGCCCGUCACACCAUGAGAGUUUGUAACACCCAAAGCCGGUGAGGUAACCCUUCGGGGAGCCAGCCGUCUAAGG